UUCUUUCAAAAUUUCACAAAAAUUCCUUAACAAAAAACGUAGCAAAUUUCGCGUAGAUCGUUAAUCUACCAUUGCAUGUAGGAUCAAGGAAUAUUGCCUGUGUUUGGACGAGACUUCAUCUUUUUGAUUCUUGAAGUCUUCGUUUUGCGUAUAUGGUAAUUGGUCUUAUUUUGAUCUGUAGAGCUGCAGUAGAAUAGAUAGACAGACGCCUUAGCAUGUCAGUAUUUGCGAUGUUUGCCACGCAUGAACUCUGUUUUGUUUUCAUCGCACGAUUAUAAUAUAUUUUAACGACAUGCAUUAAGGUAUUGGAAAAUAGUUGCAAUCCGGGUACACGGUAGUACCGGAAGUUUUGAGAUACAGUGUAAAGAAAACUGUACGCAACUAUGUUAUGUGUAUAAUGUGGGGCCCAGCGUGGCUAUAUGCAUGAUUGCAUGUUAUCGGUUUUGUAAAAGACGGUAUUCGAGGAAUACGCGUUAAAACGAUAACUAGUAAUUGAAAAGUAACGGUUUUAAUUUAAUGAA